UACGUAGGCAGCGAGCGUUGUUCGGAAUUACUGGGCGUAAAGAGUGUGUAGGCGGUGCUCUAAGUUCGGUGUGAAAUCUCCUGGCUCAACUGGGAGGGUGCGCCGGAAACUGGAGUGCUUGAGCGUGGGAGAGGAAAGCGGAAGUUCCUGGUGUAGCGGUGAAAUGCGUAGAUAUCAGGAGGAACACCUGUGGCGAAGGCGGCUCUCUGGAACGCAACUGACGCUGAGACGCGAAAGCGUGGGGAGCAAACAGG
rnacentral:rRNA from 1 species